rnacentral:rRNA from 1 species
AUGCGUGGGGUGCGAGCGUUAUCCGGAUUUAUUGGGCGUAAAGAGAAGCGUAGGUGUUUUGAUGUGUCUAUUGUUAAAUACUCCGGCUCAACUGGAGGUAUGCAAUGGAAACUGUCAAAAUCGAGGCAGAGAGGGGGAAAUAGAAUUCCCGGUGGAGCGGUGAAAUGUGUUGAUAUCGGGAGGAAUACCAGUGGCGAAGGCGAUUUCCUGGCUCUGUUCUGACACUAAGGCUCGAAAGCGUGGGUAGCAAAACGGAUUAGAUACCCGUGUAGUCCACGCCGUAAACGUUCCUCACUAGAUGUUGGGUGAGUUGACUUAUGGAACUUGUUUCUAUUUGUUAGCAAGCUCAGUGUCGUAGCUAACGCAUUAAGUGAGGCGCCUGGGAAGUACGGCCGCAAGGCUAAAACUCAAAGGAAUUGGCGGGGACCCGCACAAGCGGUGGAGCGCGUGGUUUAAUUCGAUGGUAAUCGAAGAACCUUACCAAGGUUUGACAUAUAGCUGCUAAGCCUAUGAAAAUAGGAAUCCUUCGAGGGUGCUAUACAGGUGCUGCAUGGCCGCCGUCAGCUCGUGUCGUGAGAUGUAGGGUUAAGUCCCGAAACGAGCGCAACCCUUAUCCCGUGUUAUAUUUGUCUCGGGAAACUGCCUCGGUAAAACGAGGAGGAAGGUGGGGAUGACGUCUGGUCCGCAUGGCCUUUAUGCCUUGGGCUACACACGCGCUACAAUGGUCGGUACAAAGGGCUGCCAAGCUGUAAAGCGGAGCAAAUCCCAUCAAAACCGAUCUCAGUUCGGAUUGAGGUCUGAAACUCGACCUCAUGAAGUUGGAAUCGCUAGUAAUCGUGGAUCAGCCAUGCCGCGGUGAAUACGUUCUCGGGUCUUGCACACACCGCCCGUCAUGUCAUGAAAGCUGGGGGUACCCGAAGUUAUCGUGUCCUGUUCGCAGGAGUGGGUAACGAAGGUAAACUUGGCAAUUGGGAUA